ACUCUGUGGGAUAGCUCAGUUGGUACAGCAUGAGGCUCUUACUCUCAAGGUCAUGGGUUUGAGCCCCACACUGGGCA